GACGAACGCUGGCGGCGUGCUUAACACAUGCAAGUCGAACGCUGAACCCGCUUCGGUGGGGGAUGAGUGGCGAACGGGUGAGUAACACGUGGGCAACCUGCCCCCGGCUCUGGGAUAACUCCAAGAAAUUGGGGCUAAUACCGGAUGUGACCGCUGGCCGCAUGGUCUGGUGGUGGAAAGGGUUUCCGGCUGGGGAUGGGCCCGCGGCCUAUCAGCUUGUUGGUGGGGUAGUGGCCUACCAAGGCGACGACGGGUAGCCGGCCUGAGAGGGUGACCGGCCACACUGGGACUGAGACACGGCCCAGACUCCUACGGGAGGCAGCAGUGGGGAAUAUUGCGCAAUGGGCGGAAGCCUGACGCAGCGACGCCGCGUGGGGGAUGACGGCCUUCGGGUUGCAAACCUCUUUCAGCAGGGACGAAGCGCAAGUGACGGUACCUGCAGAAGAAGCACCGGCCAACUACGUG
rnacentral:rRNA from 1 species